CCCAGAGUUCUGAGAGACAGACCAUCCUACAAAGUGGCUUCAGCAGCAUGAACUGCUAGAGUCUUUGCAGAUGGAGCAGAGAAAACUAAGUGUGAUCCCAAGGAAGGGAAACCAGCGCAGCUGCAAAAACCUUCAUUUAUGACCCUGCACUGUAAGAAGAAAGUCUCUGGUUCCCAGGUUACGACUGAGGUGACCAUUCUGCUCCUGGACAUCAGAUCACUGCCACAGAGCGAUUCACCAUGGUCCUCUCCCCUGGCCUCUGCUACGAGAUGUCGGCCUCGAGGAAGCCACGUUCCCUCUGUGCAGUUCACCUGCUUUCUCACAUAAUAACACAAGACGCUAGGCCUAAUCAUCUCUACUGUUCCCUUUAACUCUAAAAAUGGAUGAUUCCACUUGGGUAUGCCCGUGGCCCCUUGGAUAGUAACAUAGGAUAGUCCCACUAAAGAGGAACUCGAAAGUCCACACCGUUUUGUGAAAUAAAAGUGAGUCACUGGAGUUUAAA